AGUAGUCGCUACUUCUGCGAUUUCUGCUACUUCUGCGAUUUCUGUGACUCCUGCGAUUUCUGCGACUUACCACCGUAUGAAAAAGUUACAUCUGUCCACACAGAAAAUUGCAUCUCAACAAACGUGUAAUUGGUACCCGAACUACAUUUCAGUCACUCAGUAAAGUGAUAACUCAAAAUAUCAUUGUCAACAGAUCUGGAGAAAUGGCCACUGCGUCUUUAGACCGUUCUCGUCAGACGAGAGACACAGUUCUGACUCUGGUUACUGGUUGCUGUACGUAUCUAUCCACAUCAAGGAUGUUGAGAGAGACUUGUGAAGAUUCAAG